AGCUGCACUCGGAGAAGCCCUGGUUAUACGACGGAGGACCCGGGUUCGAUUCCCGGCAUCUCCA
rnacentral:tRNA from 1 species